GGCUGGUCUGAAGGUAGUGAGUUACCUCAACUGAGCACAGUCAGUUACAAAUGGAACUCCUUGUUCUACUCUUUCUCCCUUUCUCACUACUGCACUCAACUAGUUUUUA
rnacentral:Y_RNA from 1 species